ACGGCCACAUAACGUUGAAUCACCAGUUCCCGUAUGAUCACCGAUGUUAAGCAACGUCGAGUCUGGUCAGUACCUAGAUGAGUAACCGCUUGGAAAUU